rnacentral:rRNA from 1 species
UGCAGUCGAGCGCGGGAAGCAGGCAGAUCCUCUUCGGAGGUGACGCUUGUGGAACGAGCGGCGGACGGGUGAGUAACACGUGGGCAACCUGCCUGUAAGAUUGGGAUAACCCCGGGAAACCGGGGCUAAUACCGGAUAAUACUUUUCGUUGCAUAACGAGAAGUUGAAAGGCGGCUUUUAGCUGUCACUUACAGAUGGGCCCGCGGCGCAUUAGCUAGUUGGUAAGGUAACGGCUUACCAAGGCGACGAUGCGUAGCCGACCUGAGAGGGUGAUCGGCCACACUGGGACUGAGACACGGCCCAGACUCCUACGGGAGGCAGCAGUAGGGAAUCUUCCGCAAUGGACGAAAGUCUGACGGAGCAACGCCGCGUGAGUGAUGAAGGUUUUCGGAUCGUAAAACUCUGUUGUCAGGGAAGAACAAGUGCCGUUCAAAUAGGGCGGCACCUUGACGGUACCUGACCAGAAAGCCCCGGCUAACUACGUGCCAGCAGCCGCGGUAAUACGUAGGGGGCAAGCGUUGUCCGGAAUUAUUGGGCGUAAAGCGCGCGCAGGCGGUCCUUUAAGUCUGAUGUGAAAGCCCACGGCUUAACCGUGGAGGGCCAUUGGAAACUGGAGGACUUGAGUACAGAAGAGGAGAGUGGAAUUCCACGUGUAGCGGUGAAAUGCGUAGAGAUGUGGAGGAACACCAGUGGCGAAGGCGACUCUCUGGUCUGUAACUGACGCUGAGGUGCGAAAGCGUGGGGAGCGAACAGGAUUAGAUACCCUGGUAGUCCACGCCGUAAACGAUGAGUGCUAGGUGUUAGGGGGUUUCCGCCCCUUAGUGCUGAAGUUAACGCAUUAAGCACUCCGCCUGGGGAGUACGGCCGCAAGGCUGAAACUCAAA